GGGUUACUCCUUGGCGCUUGCGCGCUGUUUUGAUGAAGAUUCGCACCUCUAUCAAAACGGGUAACCCCGCCUCUUGGCAAGGUCUUACUGUCAGAUCAAGUCUGAACUUCUACAACUCAGCCUAUAUGGCCGGCUGCUGGCGGCAGACUGUCGCGAACGCCGAUUGGCGUCCGUACCAGGAAACCGCGCGGUGCUCGACAACCGCACUCGACCGCAG
rnacentral:sRNA from 1 species